AGCAGCCGCGGUAAUUCCAGCUCCAAUAGCGUAUAUUAAAGUUGUUGCAGUUAAAAAGCUCGUAGUUGAAUUUCGGGAUCAAUUUAUCGGUCGUGCCAACGGUAUGAACUGGUACAAUUGGUUUCUCCCUUCUGAUGAAGCACGAUGUCAUUAACUUGGUGUCGUGGGGAAUCAGGACUGUUACUUUGAAAAAAUUAGAGUGUUUAAAGCAGGCCUUGGCUUGAAUACAUUAGCAUGGAAUAAUGAAAUAGGACGUUUGAUCCUAUUUCGUUGGUUUCUAGGAUCGACGUAAUGAUUAAUAGGGAUAGUUGGGGGCAUUAGUAUUCAAUUGUCAGAGGUGAAAUUCUUGGAUUUAUUGAAGACUAACUACUGCGAAAGCAUUUGCCAAGGAUGUUUUCAUUAAUCAAGAACGAAAGUUAGGGGAUCGAAGACGAUCAGAUGCCGUCGUAGUCUUAACCAUAAACUAUGCCGACUAGGGAUCGGAUGAUGUUAAUUUUUAAUGACUCAUUCGGCGCCUUAA
rnacentral:rRNA from 1 species